rnacentral:tRNA from 1 species
GCCCGGCUGGCGCAAUGGUUAGCGCAUGCCACUUCUAAUGGCAAGGUUGUGGGUUCGAGUCCCACGUCGGGUU